ACGGGAUCCAAGAAGUGCUUGCACUUUUUGGUGAGAGUGGCGAACGGGUGAGUAACACGUGAGUAACCUGUCCUUUUCUUUGGGAUAAGCAUCCGAAAGGGUGUUUAAUACCUUAUGUUCUGUCUGCCUCGCAUGGGGUGGGUGGGAAAGAUUUUUUCGGUAAAGGGUGGGCUCGCGGUCUAUCAGCUUGUUGGUGGGGUGAUGGCCUACCAAGGCUUUGACGGGUAGCCGGCCUGAGAGGGUGGUCGGUCACAUUGGGACUGAGAUACGGCCCAGACUCCUGCGGGAGGCAGCAGUGGGGGAUAUUGCACAAUGGGCGAAAGCCUGAUGCAGCGACGCCGCGUGGGGGAUGAAGGCCUUCGGGUUGUAAACUUCUUUUGCUCUGAACAAGGCGCACCGUGGGGUGUGUUGAGUGUAGGGGUUGAUUAGCGCCGGCUAACUACGUGCCAGCAGCCGCGGUAAUACGUAGGGCGCGAGCGUUGUCCGGAAUUAUUGGGCGUAAAGGGCUUGUAGGUGGCUGGUUGCGUCUGUCGUGAAAGCUCAUGGCUUAACUGUGGGUUUGCGGUGGGUACGGGCUGGCUUGAGUGCAGUAGGGGAGGCUGGAAUUCCUGGUGUAGCGGUGGAAUGCGCAGAUAUCAGGAGGAUACCGGUGCGAAGGCGGGUCUCUGGGCUGUUACUGAC
rnacentral:rRNA from 1 species